CCGCUAAUUCCGUGACAUUAAGCAAUGAUAUUUCAACGACUUCUUUUGAUAGAAUCUCAGUUUUCUCAAUUCAUACGUCAUAUAGGCUGACUGGGAAAAGUGGAAGAAAAGCACAGAUAUAUGAUAUGUAAAUGGGGGAAAAGCAAAAGAUCACAGAGAACCCUGUAUCUCGGUUUGGGUCUUCCUUGGUGAAAAUGUUUUGUCUGACAGCCGAUGGUUUAGUUUAAUACAGUCCACUUCAACCAGACUGGAGAGAAGACACAUGCAACUAUCUGGCACGAGAUUGUAGAUAGCAGUUAGUGGUGUAUUUCAAACUUUUGAUGAAGGAUGACAAAAAGUUGGACUUUUAUAGUCUGGUUUGAUUUUUAACUGCUUGAGUGACUGGUAAAACAAAUGGUUUGUAUGGCAUGGCUGAACAGAAUAGACUGACUAUCUCGUCAGCAGACAUCUUUACAUGUACUAAACUAGUACCUGAAAUUUACUGAGAGAAUAUGCACACAUGAAACAAGAUAUCCAAUGGAGUACUUCAAAAGACAGUCUGGUUCUGUUUCUUCAUAGAACAUU
rnacentral:lncRNA from 1 species